GAUCGUGAUAUUCAUUAGCGCGUUCGGCUGUUAACCGAAAGGUUGGUGGUUCGAGCCCACCCGGGGGCG